CGUAGGGUGCAAGCGUUGUCCGGAAUUAUUGGGCGUAAAGAGCUCGUAGGCGGUCUGUCGCGUCGAAUGUGAAAACCCGGGGCUCAACCCCGGGCCUGCAUUCGAUACGGGCAGACUAGAGUUCGGUAGGGGAGUCUGGAAUUCCUGGUGUAGCGGUGAAAUGCGCAGAUAUCAGGAGGAACACCGGUGGCGAAGGCGGGACUCUGGGCCGAUACUGACGCUGAGGAGCGAAAGCGUGGGGAGCGAACAGGAUU
rnacentral:rRNA from 1 species